rnacentral:rRNA from 1 species
CCUACGGGAGGCUGCAGUGAGGAAUAUUGGUCAAUGGACGAGAGUCUGAACCAGCCAAGUAGCGUGAAGGAUGACUGCCCUAUGGGUUGUAAACUUCUUUUAUAUGGGAAUAAAACGUUCCACGUGUGGGAUUUUGUAUGUACCAUAUGAAUAAGGAUCGGCUAACUCCGUGCCAGCAGCCGCGGUAUACGGAGGGAUCGGGCGUUUUCCGGAUUUUUUGGGUUUAAAGGGAGCGUAGGUGGAUUGUUAAGUCAGUUGUGAAAAUUUGCGGCUCAACCGUAAAAUUGCAGUUGAAACUGGCAGUCUUGAGUACAGUAGAGGUGGGCGGAAUGCGUGGUGUAGCGGUGAAAUGCUUAGAUAUCACGAAGAACUCCGAUUGCGAAGGCAGUUCACUGGACUGCAACUGACACUGAGGCUCGAAAGUGUGGGUAUCAAACAGGAUUAGAUACCCCUGUAGUC